CCUACGGGAGGCUGCAGUGGGGAAUAUUGGACAAUGGGCGAAAGCCUGAUCCAGCCAUGCCGCGUGUGUGAAGAAGGCCUUCGGGUUGUAAAGCACUUUCAGUGGGGAAGAAAGCCUUGGGGCUAAUACCCUCGAGGAAGGACAUCACCCACAGAAGAAGCACCGGCUAACUCCGUGCCAGCAGCCGCGGUAAUACGGAGGGUGCGAGCGUUAAUCGGAAUUACUGGGCGUAAAGCGCGCGUAGGCGGUCUGAUAAGCCGGUUGUGAAAGCCCCGGGCUCAACCUGGGAACGGCAUCCGGAACUGUCAGGCUAGAGUGCAGGGGAGGAAGGUAGAAUUCCCGGUGUAGCGGUGAAAUGCGUAGAGAUCGGGAGGAAUACCAGUGGCGAAGGCGGCCUUCUGGACUGACACUGACGCUGAGGUGCGAAAGCGUGGGUAGCAAACAGGAUUAGAUACCCUUGUAGUC
rnacentral:rRNA from 1 species